CGGACGGGUGAGUAACGCGUGAGAAUCUACCUUCAGGUCGGGGAUAACCCCUGGAAACGGGGGCUAAUACCGGAUAGGUCGAAAGAUGAAAGGUUAACUGCCUGAAGAGGAGCUCGCGUCUGAUUAGCUAGUAGGUGUGGUAAGAGCGCACCUAGGCGACGAUCAGUAGCUGGUCUGAGAGGAUGAGCAGCCACACUGGGACUGAGACACGGCCCAGACUCCUACGGGAGGCAGCAGUGGGGAAUUUUCCGCAAUGGGCGAAAGCCUGACGGAGCAAGACCGCGUGGGGGAGGAAGGCCUUUGGGUUGUAAACCCCUUUUGUUAGGGAAGAAAAAAAUGACGGUACCUAACGAAUCAGCCUCGGCUAACUCCGUGCCAGCAGCCGCGGUAAUACGGAGGAGGCAAGCGUUAUCCGGAAUUAUUGGGCGUAAAGCGUCCGUAGGUGGCCCGGCAAGUCUGCUGUCAAAGACCACAGCUCAACUGUGGAAAGGCAGUGGAAACUGCAAGGCUAGAGUGCGGUAGGGGUAGAGGGAAUUCCCAGUGUAGCGGUGAAAUGCGUAGAGAUUGGGAAGAACACCGGUGGCGAAAGCGCUCUACUGGGCCGCAACUGACACUGAUGGACGAAAGCUAGGGGAGCGAAUGGGAUUAGAUACCCCCAGUAG
rnacentral:rRNA from 1 species